GAGUCUACUGGAGUAGCUACCUACUGGAAUCACUUCUGAAUCCUCAGACAUCUCUUCACCCUCCUCUGGCUACACUAUAGGUUAUCUAUGCUUUGGACGCAUAAAGGUAUCUUUCUUAGGAUGUUAGCAUGGAAUAAAUAUGAACGUCAUUCCAUAUGCUAAAUGCUCGUCACUGUGGAGCUCCUGGAAGCAUUUGCAAUGGAAAUGGAGACAGCUUGACAUGAUCAUAAACCACACUACUGGAAGAAAGUAUGGGGAGAGCACAAGCAGAGAUAACAGAGGUGCCACACAUCCAGGCCUCUGCUUGCCACUUUCCCCCUUGACUGGGGAACUGGAAGAACAUCCACCUAAUAAUAGGGGUGUGGACUGACCUGUGCUUAUCAGCCCCAGACAGGUGCUGCCUCUCCUCCUGUUCCUUGUCGUUCAAGGAAAGCACUAAUUGGAAUGGCUGAUAAUAUAAAAUAUCUCUUAAUCAUGUAUUUGAGAUCUGUACCAAGCUAUGACAUUUGCCAGGCUCAGGUGAAUUUAGAGAUCUGAUUUUAAAAGAUGGCAGAGACAGAUGGAGAGCUAGCAAAACUGUAUAUAUUCUGUCUAGGUAAAAAUAAAAACAAGUUAAGGAUCUUAAAACAAAAAUCUCACAUAGGAUGAGAUCUUAAGUGAUAAUUUCUGAAAUAUGUUUCAUAAAAAAAUGAUUUGCUUGACACCUUUCCUUUACCUGUCCACAGUUUUCACUGAGAUGGUCCUGAUGCCAACAGCUUCCAUUAUGUUAGUACUUAUACUGUUCCUCUGA